UAUAGGGCGACCUCGGUGUUCCAACCCCCUAAUCUCUUACACUCGUCAACACUUGGAUAAUCGGAAGACUUAGCAAUUAUGUUGACUAAUGAAGUAUGGAUGAUUGA